ensembl:lncRNA
AAUGACUCUGUGUCAUGUGGAGUGUUCUCAAUAAUGUUUGCAGAAAUGAUCCUCCAGGGACAACAAGGUCACCUCCAAUGCCUCCCCAUUUCCCAAGAGCGGGAGAGACUUGGGACUUUUUUUUAAGUGCCAUACAUUUGUAUGGUAUGGGUGCUCCUUAUUGAGCUCUGCUGGCUAACUGUCGCUCCCUGCAUUAAGUUCAAGUCACUGAUGAUUUGGAGUGGUAGCUUUAACUAGUAAAUUCUGAGGAUGUCAUACUUUGGACUGGUUAUGGCUCUUGAAAUAUGUGAAGGUUAUGGUUGCUUUUAAUGUGCUUGUGUUAUCCAAAGUAUCAUUGUAUUAUACAAAGCAUUUGUUUAGUUUUUUUCAGAUAGUUCGGGCAUUUGUACAGUCUGCUACAAGAAGAUGUCAGGGAAGAAAAAGGCAAGUGCUAAUGAUAUUUUAUCUAAAGCAACAUUCCGCUGUCAGAUUAAAGCCAAGUACACAUCAGACGAAUCUUUUAUCACAGAUUGGUCCAGGGAGUCAUUAAUAUAAUCCUUGGGUGAGGAGUGAAUCGGCAGUUAAAGAAUCGUUUGAUAUGUACUUGGCAUAACUAUUUCUCAUGCAAAAUCUUUUGCAGGAGACAUGCUCAUUCUGCUCUACAGAAAAGAGUCCAAAACCAGAGGCAGAAACAGCUGAGAUGGAGACUGCAGAGGCAGUUGAAGUAGCAAAAACGAAGGUGGAGGUUGUUGCAGAUACAUCAGAUGCAGAGGAAGAGGAGAACGAGGAGGCAUCGGAGAAAAAGGAUGGAUUCUAUGUGGACAGCCUGUUGAAGGUGGCGUCUUCAAAGAAAGCUAAAAGAGGAGUGCCAAGGUCUUGCUAAAGACCUAGGAUAUUUGACCAAGGAAAUACCCUUCAAAAUCAUAGGCCAGCAGCUGGCCGAGCGAGGCUGCAGAAGAGAGGAUCAUGACUUGAGGUAAAAUAUGCAUACAGAUAUCUUUUUCCUUCCACUUUUUAAGUCUUUCUCCUUCUGAAUUGGCAUAAUAUUGUUAUGCCAGUGCUUUUACUCAAUUCGUAAUGUAACUUGUCUCAGAGAUUUCUUUUGUUUGUUUACAGUGCUGAACUCGACAUAAUCGAACAAGUGUUGGGCGACAACAUGGACAUGUAUUCAAAGGUCACACACACACUUGGACCCCAAGUAUGCCAGGUUGUGUUUCAGAUCACCAGAGAGUGCCUUGUUGCAAAAGGAAGUGCUGUAGAAAAUUGAAUUUUGACACUAUUUCUGACCCAAUUACACUAUGUGCAGUAAACUGUUCACUGUACUGUACUGUUCAUUGUUAAAUCACUGCAAAGAUGCAAUUAAACAAUAUUUUUUGGUUAAAUCUGUUUAUUAUUAUUAUUUAGCGCUUGUAUCUUCUUGUUUUUUGCUUUUUGUAAAGCUCUCGUUUGGCUUGCUCUAUCCGCUGGCGAUAAGCAUGAAGUGCAUGUGUUUUUCGUUUUCUUGACACAAUGCCAAAAUGAUUGUAGGCCACUGUGUGUGCCCUCUUCACUGUAGUGUACAAGUCAUUACUAUACAUGUAAUUUUCUGAUUUGCUCCACUCCAGUAAAUCUGUCAACAUAGACUGAAGUUGAACUUGUGCAGUGGCAUUUGUUGGCACAAACAGAUUUUAGCUUCCAGCAGUGGGACAUGUAGUGGGACAUGUAGAAUGUGAAUUGUUGGUGGUUUGCAGGCAGUCAGCAACAUGUAAGCAAACACACAUUUGACCGUAACUGUUGACAGCACAGGUACAAAAGACAGGGUCACCAGUAAAUACAAAUGUGGCACUUA